rnacentral:rRNA from 1 species
ACUCCUACGGGAGGCAGCAGUGGGGAAUAUUGCACAAUGGGCGCAAGCCUGAUGCAGCCAUGCCGCGUGUGUGAAGAAGGCCUUCGGGUUGUAAAGCACUUUCAGUCGUGAGGAAGGUAGUGUAGUUAAUAGCUGCAUUAUUUGUACGUUAGCGACAGAAGAAGCACCGGCUAACUCCGUGCCAGCAGCCGCGGUAAUACGGAGGGUGCGAGCGUUAAUCGGAAUUACGUGGGCGUAAAGCGCAUGCAGGUGGUUUGUUAAGUCAGAUGUGAAAGCCCGGGGCUCAACCUCGGAAUUGCAUUUGAAACUGGCAGACUAGAGUACUGUAGAGGGGGUAGAAUUUCAGGUGUAGCGGUGAAAUGCGUAGAGAUCUGAAGGAAUACCGGUGGCGAAGGCGGCCCCUGGACAGAUACUGACACUCAGAUGCGAAAGCGUGGGAGCAAACAGGAUUAGAUACCCCUGGUAGCGACUGA